GACAGAGGGUGCAAACGUUGUUCGGAAUUACUGGGCGUAAAGCGCGUGUAGGCGGCUUUGCAAGUCGGGUGUGAAAUCCCACGGCUCAACCGUGGAAGUGCAUUCGAAACUGCGAGGCUAGAGUCCUGGAGAGGAAGGUGGAAUGCUUGGUGUAGAGGUGAAAUUCGUAGAUAUCAAGCGGAACACCGGUGGCGAAGGCGGCCUUCUGGACAGUGACGUGACGCUGAGACGCGAAAGCGUGGGGAGCAACAGGGAU
rnacentral:rRNA from 1 species